AUGGACUUCAGAGAAAUUGUCUUGAUAGCUUCCAAAGGACAAGGUGUCCACAAUGUGCCAACAAGAUAUAGUUUAGCAGUGGGACCUCCCAAGAAAGAUUCAAAAGUUAAAGGUUUUCAAUCAGCAGCUGUACAAGCUUUUCUUAGAAGAAAAGAAGAGGAAAUCAGACCUUAGAAGAGAAAAGGAGAAAAGAGGAACUAGUGGAAAAACCAAUCGAGCUCAAACAUGACAAGAAAGCGAGAGCUAUGUCUAAGAGGGCAAAGGAAAAUUUCCAUGGUUACAAUGCGAUUCCUACUGAGGAAAAGUCAAAGAAGAGGCAGUCCGUGGAAAGCCACCUCAGCCAGGCGCUAGAACAAGAGGAUGGAUUUUUAGAAUACAAUCAAGCAGAGUCAGAGCAGGAGUAUGAGAAAGAGCAAGUACCUCCCAAAGUUGAAAGCAAACCAAAGGUUCCCCUUAAAAGUGCUCCACAACCUAUGAACUUCACCAAUUUACUGAGGCUGGCUGAGAUCAAGGUAGUGAAGAAAUCAGAAGAGCAGCUUAUGACUGCAGAAGAACUUAGGGAGUGAGAAUUCUGGAAUGAAAGCAUAGGAAAAAGAAACUUGAGACAGAUGUAAAACUACCUCCAACUGUGUCCAAAAAGGCACCCUCUCAGAAAGAAAGUGUGGGCACAAAACUUAGCAAAUGUUCUGGAGAUAGGCAUCCUUCCUGUAGAGGAAUGUCCUUUCCUCAUACUGAGAAGAAAUCCGAACCCAGAACAGCCCAUGAGAAACACUUAUCAGUGUCUUCAUCCAAAUCCAUGCCAGGAGAGAGGACCAAGGCAGGACCUGGCUAUAGUUCCCACCCCUCACUUUGUGAGGGUCAUGUCAGACCUGUUUUCAAUGGAGCUAUAAAGCCCCACUCUUGCACCUAUUCACCAAGUGUCCCAAAGACUUCUGCCAGUGGGACUCAGAAAUCUGCUACUGAGCACAAAGCCAAAACUUUUCAUCCUAGCCAUUCCAAGCCUGGGCCCACAGUCACCCCCACACAAUAAGGCUAAGAGUCCAGGUGCCAGGCAGCUAGGCAGCAACUCCCAACUCAGCCCCUGGGAGACCCAGCCCAGGGACUGCUCGGUCCAUACUUAAUUCUGGCCUUGUGCCUAGAUGCCAGAAUGGGAGCGCCAGCUCAGGACCUGAGCGCUCGGUCAGUGGGAUCAAGAAGCUAGUCAGUGACUCAGAUCCUUCUGGGCGGACAGUAACUGAUACAAAUGACCCUGGACCACCUGCUAAGUAGUUCCAGUGGCCCGGGUGACUCAUCAGUGUCUCAGGUAGUUCUGGGAGACUUGUAGGCAGCUCUGGAGGCCCUAAGCAGCCUACCAGCAGUCCACAUGACCUUUGACAACUGGUGACUGGCUCAGGACCCCUUGGACAAUCAGUCAGUGGGCUUGGACGAUUCAUAAGGGGCUCCAUUCCAGCUGGACACACUAGUUCAGGCCCUGGAAGACCAGUAAGUGGCUGAGGACCUGGGUGAACAGUUAGUAGCCCAGGUCCCCUUUAAAGUCCAAGUGUAAUGUUGUCUCAGAAAUAGUAUCUUCCAAGAAUAUUAUUAGUCGAACCAGCAAUGGACAGGUAAAUGGAAUGAAACCUCCUCUCUCUGGCUACAGAUCCGCCCAAGCUCCUCAAAGACUUCCUUUCCCUACUAGUUAUAAAAGGCAGUGAGGAUAUGAGGAGGAAGAUGAUGAUGAUGAUGAUGAAUAUGACUCUGAAAUGGAUGAUUUCAUUGAAGAUGAAGGAGAACCUUAGGAAGAAAUAUCCAAGCAUAUUCUAGAAAUCUUUGGCUAUGACUGAAAAAAACACAAAGAUGAAAGUGAUUAUGCCUUAUGUUACAUGGAGAGUAGUUGGAAAGAGCAGCAGAAUGAAGAAGCAAAGAGUUUAAGACUAGGUAUUCAGGAGGACUUAGAGGAAAUGAGACGUGAAGAAGAAGAAAUGUAGAAAAGCAAAGAAGCUAAAGAGAUUAGCUGCUGCUUUACUUUUGAGAAAUUCUGGAAACACUGCUGCAAGGAGUUUCUGCCUUCAGACUGAAUAA